AGAGUGAACGCUGGCGGUAGGCCUAACACAUGCAAGUCGAACGGCAGCACAGUAGGAGCUUGCUCUUACGGGUGGCGAGUGGCGGACGGGUGAGGAAUACAUCGGAAUCUACCUUUUGGUGGGGGAUAACGUAGGGAAACUUACGCUAAUACCGCAUACGCCCUUCGGGGGAAAGCCGGGGACCAGCAAUGGCCUGGCGCUGAUAGAUGAGCCGAUGUCGGAUUAGCUAGUUGGUGAGGUAAUGGCUCACCAAGGCGACGAUCCGUAGCUGGUCUGAGAGGAUGAUCAGCCACACUGGAACUGAGACACGGUCCAGACUCCUACGGGAGCAGCAGUGGGGAAUAUUGGACAAUGGGCGCAAGCCUGAUCCAGCCAUACCGCGU
rnacentral:rRNA from 1 species